rnacentral:rRNA from 1 species
CCCUUAGAUGUUCUGGGCUGCACGCGCGCUACACUGACGCACGCAACAGGUGCCUGCUCCGAGAGGACUGGGUAAUCAUUUGAGUGUGCGUCGUGAUGGGGAUAGAAUAUUGUAAUUAUUACUCUUCAACGAGGAAUUCCUAGUAAGCGCCAGUCAGCAGCUUGCGCUGAUUACGUCCCUGCCCUUUGUACACACCGCCCGUCGCUCCUACCGAUGGGUGAUCCGGUGAAUGAUUCGGACUUCAGCGGCUCCCCUGGGGUGCGCCGGAGAAAGUUUUGUGAACCUUACCACUUGGAGGAAGGAGAAGUCGUAACA